rnacentral:misc_RNA from 1 species
CAGAGUUGCAAAACUCCAAACCCAUGUGAACAUACCUCGUGUUGCCUCGGCGGCGAGCGAAGUGCUCGGGAGGUGCCUACCCGGUACCUACCCGGUAGCUACCCUGUAGCCUCCUACCCUGGAGCUGCGAGGUAUCUACCCUGGAGCUACCCUGGAGCGCAUGCGCAUCCGCCGGAGGACCACUCAAACUCUUGUUUCUGUGUGGCACAUCUGAGUAAUUAUACUUAAUAAGUCA